CCACAAAGAUGAAAUGACCCGAUUUGUCCUAGUCCACUCAGCCGACCAGAACAAGCUGUGACUUAACUCCCAUACUAGAGCAGUGGUAGAUUUUUAUCGGGAGUUUUCUUUUUCUCCAAAGAUUCUAGACAGAAACCACGAUCCUAAGGCCUCCAGAUUCGAACGGAGCCCUAGGGCUCCUCUGUAAGAACAUCUUCCCAUUCCUCUAGGAUCC
rnacentral:lncRNA from 1 species